rnacentral:rRNA from 1 species
CCUACGGGUGGCAGCAGUGGGGAAUAUUGCACAAUGGGGGAAACCCUGAUGCAGCGACGCCGCGUGAGCGAUGAAGUCUUUCGGUAUGUAAAGCUCUAUCAGCAGGGAAGAAAAUGACGGUACCUGACUAAGCCGCCCCGGGUAACUACGUGCCAGCAGCCGCGGUCAUACGUGGGGGGCAGGCGUUAUCCGGAUUUACUGGGGGUAAAGGGGGCGUAGACGGCUUGGCAAGGCCGAUGUGAAAGGGUGGGGCUCAACCCCAGGACUGCAGUUGGAACUGGCAGGCUAGAGUGUGGGAGAGGCAGGCGGAAUUCCUAGUGUAGCGGUGAAAUGCGUAGAUAUUAGGAGGAACACCAGUGGCGAAGGCGGCCUGCUGGACGAUGACUGACGUUGAGGCUCGAAAGCGUGGGGAGCGAACAGGAUUAGAUACCCUAGUAGUC